CAUUGAACGAACCUGAAAGUCGGAUCGGAGCCGGAAUUCCGGAUUGAAAUUUAGGAGACUAACACGCUGCAUUUCAACAAAGAUUUGGCCGCCCGCACGUCGGAAUCGUUCGCCAUCUGCGUUGGACUCAACCCAAUCGUAGUCCGCUGAAUCAUCCAUUGCUUUCAUAUCGAUUUUAUCACCAUCUAUGAGAGACCUCCUGCGCGAUCUGCCCUGACCCGGUGCGUACGUCGAAAUCGUCCAUCUGCGAGAGACCUCCUGCGCGAUCUGCCCUGACCCGGUGCGUACGUCGAAAUCGUCCAUCAUCUGCGAGAGACCCCAAUCGCUGUCCCAUUCCGGCGGUCCACGAUCUGCGAAAGUUCCGUCAACUCCGUGCGCGAUCUGCCCUGACCCGGUGCCCACGUCGAAAUCGUCCAUCAUCUGCGAGAGACCCCGAUCGCUGUCCCAUUCCGGCGGUCCACGAUCUGCGAAAGUUCCGUCAACUCCGUGCGCGAUCUGCCCUGACCCGGUGCCCACGUCGAAAUCGUCCAUCAUCUGCGAGAGACCCCGAUCGCUGUCCCAUUCCGGUAUGCCCGGGCAGAAAGUUGCAU